AUGUUUCGUGUCCUGAAAAAGCUACCGAGCGACCCACUAGUUAGUUCUCUCUCUCCCCCCUCUCACCUAACUUCUUCGAGAAAAACCCAGGAGCAGGGGCGCGUACGGCAGCGCCGCCGCCGCCGCCAUAUCCUUCUCGUCCUCAUCCGGCCUCCAGAGACCCGGAGCCCGCAGAUCCGGCAACCUCGCGCCUGGAUCUUGCAGCUCGGGCCGUGCUCCUCCCUCUCCUCCCCGGCAUAG
rnacentral:rRNA from 1 species